AAACUGAAGAGUUUGAUCCUGGCUCAGAUUGAACGCUGGCGGCAUGCCUUACACAUGCAAGUCGAACGGCAGCACGGAGCUUGCUCUGGUGGCGAGUGGCGAACGGGUGAGUAAUAU
rnacentral:rRNA from 1 species